AAGCAAGCAAAGAAAGGAAGCAAGUAGUGGAUGAUCUCCCUGUUCAAGAGAGCUGAUGGUGGUGCAAAUCAGUACAAAGAUCAACAUGAAUUACAAUCCUGGAGCUUCUUUUUCGAAGCAAAGAGUAAUCUUUGUGAAGGGAAAGACGGUCGUAUGAUCGUUAACAAAAUUGAGAGGUGAACAGGUUUGUUCACAACUAGGGUGGUACCGCGACAAGUUCGUCCCUACU
rnacentral:ncRNA from 1 species